UUGGCGUUCUCCGGCGGCGGAUAGCAAAGGAUCUGGGAAUGAGGAGUGAUUUGUGGAUCAGAAGCGGAAUAAUUUUUGUUUGGGCUGAACCAAACGACCUGCAACUCUCUCAACCCACUCAUGAAAGCCCAUUUGCCAGAUUGUGCGAACGAGUAGGUUUACUAUGCGUGAGAAUAAUCCAACAAGCUAAGGUGAAGAAGCAUCUAACUUUUUUGUUGAUUUCUGGAAUGUGUUUGUUGAAGAAUCUGGUGCAUGAAAUAAAGGAUGAAUGAAAUAGGAAAAUAAAUGCUGAGGUGUUACACGAAAUAAACGUGUGCAUGGGUGCAUGCACACGAGGGAAGUAUGUUGCGAAGUUGGAUAUCAACACAUAGCAUAGAGUUUGUUAGAUCAGAUCUAUGAUUUGAAUUGUUAGUUGUAAACGCAGCUAUAUAAGCUGUUUCCAUUUCAGUUGUAUGUUUUCAUGUUUUUGGAAUUAAUGCAAAGUUCUCCUUC